UCUCAAAGAAAGGGCUGUAACCA
rnacentral:piRNA from 1 species